rnacentral:lncRNA from 1 species
AUAAUAUGCCUGCCAUACAGGGUUCCUAGGAUUAAAGGAGGAUUCUCUGUAUAUUAUGUAGCUCCAGAAAAAAAGAGGCAUAUUAUUGACUCCUACAAUUGAAUCAAAGUAGACUACACAAGGCAGAGCCUAAACUAAGCAGGGGUUUCAGAGGUGCCGCUGACAACCUGUGUGUCCAGCACGUGAGCCAGUUGAGAAAUCCAGAAGCUCUGGGUCGCAAGCUGGAAAUGCUGGGCCAGAGGUCAUUACGGUGCUGACAGUUCCUCUCCCCUCUUCCUCGUUCCUCUCCUUCAGCCUUGCUGAUCGCAGCUCGAGGAGUCAGGGGAGCCAAAGCUGAACCUUAGUGGAUCCUCAGAUUCCCAUAUAUCUAUCUCUGAACUUCAGCCUCCCUUCCUGUUUUCAACACUGACUUGUUGACUUCUUAUCUACCCACGGUUGGGAUCCACAGCCCACUGCUUAGAACUGACACAGUUCUGGAGUAGGGGCCAGGAGGAUGGAGGAGGCAGGCUGUGGUGCACAGGUGUACUUGGACCUGGGCGUGGAAGGAGGGCCACGGAAGAUCUUACAAAAAUCUCUUUUGACAACCGCUCAUUGUCCCACUCCUUCCAAGCCCCAGUAAGUACCAACUCCCCUUUGCUGAGAGGGUUCAGCUAAGAUUAAGGGUUUCUCCAACAGGAACAGAGCUUGGUGAACUAAGUCAUUAGUCCUAAAAUAU